CAUGGGGGUUAGUGCCGGCCGGGGAGAGCGCGGGGUGCGGCGUGGGCACCGGGGAGCCGGGGUUAGGGCUGGUGGCUGGGGCCCGGGAGAGGGCGGCACGGGGCGUCGAGAUCCGGGAGCAGUUGGAGGGGGCUCAGGAGGCUGCGCGUGGGCAGGACCGCCCCAGGACAAUUCAGGGGAAGCUUUAAAGGAACCAGAAAGGGUCCAGGAGCACUCUUUGCCCAACUUUGCUGGGGGACAGCACUUCUUUGAAUACCUUCUUGUGGUUUCUCUCAAAAAGAAGCGUUCAGAGGAUGAUUACGAGCCUAUAAUCACCUACCAAUUUCCCAAGCGGGAGAACCUGCUUCGGGGUCAGCAGGAGGAGGAGGAGCGGCUGCUCAAAGCUAUCCCCUUGUUCUGCUUCCCAGAUGGGAAUGAGUGGGCAUCACUCACUGAGUAUCCCAGGGAGACCUUCUCCUUCGUUCUGACCAAUGUGGAUGGGAGCAGAAAGAUUGGAUACUGCAGGCGCCUCUUGCCUGCUGGCCCUGGCCCUCGCCUUCCCAAAGUGUACUGCAUCAUCAGCUGCAUCGGCUGCUUCGGCUUGUUCUCCAAGAUCCUGGAUGAAGUGGAGAAGAGACAUCAGAUCUCCAUGGCUGUCAUCUACCCGUUCAUGCAGGGCCUCCGAGAGGCAGCCUUCCCUGCUCCUGGGAAGACUGUCACUCUCAAGAGCUUCAUCCCCGACUCAGGCACUGAGGU
rnacentral:sRNA from 1 species